rnacentral:rRNA from 1 species
UACGGAGGAUCCAAGCGUUAUCCGGAAUCAUUGGGUUUAAAGGGUCCGUAGGUGGACGAUUAAGUCAGGGGUGCAAGUCUGCAGCUCAACUGUAGCAUUGCCCUUGAUACUGGUUGUCUUGAAUCAUUGUGAAGUGGUUAGAAUAUGUAGUGUAACGGUGAAAUGCAUAGAGAUUACAUAGAAUACCAAGUGCGAAGGCAGAUCACUAACAAUGUAUUGACACUGAUGGACGAAAGCGUGGGUAGCGAACAGG